UCCCUGGUGGCUCAGAUGGUAAAGCAUCUGCCUGUGAUGCAGGAGACCUGGGUUCGAUCCCUGGGUUGGGAA
rnacentral:tRNA from 1 species